rnacentral:lncRNA from 12 species
AGCGGGAAUUUGCAGAGUCUGCAGUCGUUAGCCAAUCCACGUUACAGGUUUGCCCGCGCGCGCAAAAUGAGCUUCCGUGAGCUUCUUAGCACGGGUGUUAUUUGUUUCAUCACAGCUGACCAAGUGUCCACCUCCCGGCGGGAUGAUUGUACUAGGGAGGACCUUUCUAGCUUUCCUCGCAUUUCCGGAGCAGCAAAUACUGCUGGGGACCAGACUAGAGCUGCGGUUAAUGCGCAGAGAGGACCAAGGGGCGAAAAGCUGGCUGCUCCGCGGAAGGCGGAUUCCGACACACCCUUCUCUCCCGGUUUGACUGCAUCCAAGACCUGUUGCCAGAACCCACAGCUUUUGGUGCAGGGAAGCCAGGUUUUAAAACAAGAUCAGCGAGAAACAGACGCAGGUAGAGGGCUGGGGGCUGGGGAAGGAUAGAGACAGCGAGAGAUGCCCGAGGGACCCUCACCUGCUGAAAUCUCCCUACCCUCACUGCAGACAUGGGAGAGAACCUCCGGAGGAUGCCAAUCCCAACCUUCAAGCCACCUCAAGCUGAAAGUGAAUGAAGCAUAAACAAACCUUCCCCAGUGUGACCUGUCCGCAUUCCAGACCCUCAGGAUCCAGGAGCAUAAUGAGUGGUUGUUUAUGUAACUUGAAUUUCUUACACAUCUAUAGUAACUGGAGCGAUACCAUGUAUAUUCUUCUCUGACCUCUUUUUGUGGCUGUCUUUCCCCUGAAAUCUCAUACUCUCUCCUGAAUCUCAUACUCCUCAAUAGGAAGGGAGUAGCUAAAGUUUUGAACCCAAGUGUCAUCUCCCAGAUCCAAUUAUGUCACAGAGCAUAUACACGCUCUCCUUUUCUAAGCACUUCCCAAAUUUGAUAUUUUUAUUUAUUUUUUUAGAAGAUUUUAUUUAUUUAUUCAUGAUAGACAUAGGGGGAGAAAGAGGCAGAGACACAGGCAGAGGGAGAAGCAGGCUCCACGCAGGGAGCCCGACGUGGGACUUGAUCCCGGGACUCCAGGAUCGCGCCCGGGGCCAAAGGCAGGCGCCAAACCGCUGAGCCACCCAGGGAUCCCCGAGUGAAGCCACUUUAAUGUUUUGCUUUUUCCACAUAGAUAACUUCAUAUCAGCUAAAAAAUCAUGAAAUGAAGAACUGAUUAUGAAACUGCAGACCCAAAAUCACUGGAGUAAUAAGUAGGUUUUCCCCAGAGGAUUGUUAGAAUAAAUAACCAGAAUACCAAGGAUUAUGUUUAUUU